rnacentral:sRNA from 12 species
GGACCGAUUUCCUGAUUCUGGGAAAUGCAAGGCCAUACGGACAGCCCGGUCAACUGCCGA